rnacentral:lncRNA from 1 species
CACGACUGAAGCGACUUAGCAGCAGCAGCAAUCUGACAAAGAUGGAACUAACAGUAACCAUAUGAGGUUUAUAUGAAUUUAUAAGUAAUGUGUCUCUAUAACUACUUCCAGUAUUUCUAAAUUAGAAGCAGCUUUCAGAACCUCAGUAUACAGUGCGUGGUUCCUUUAAAAUGUAUGAAUUUUGUUGUUGGGAAAUGCAUGCAUAUAAGAAUUGAGUCCAUUCUGCAAUAAAGCAAUAGCGUCUAGAAAAAAAGUGAGCGAAUUGCUUGGAUCUAAAAAGGCUUAGAAACACAGCAACCACAUGUUAUAUGGACCUUGUUUAGAUAGCCUGAAACCAAUUUAUAGUCUUUUAUGGGCUUCCCUGGUGGCUCAGACGGUAAAAGAAUCUACCUGCAAUGCAGGAGACAUGAGUUAGAUCCCUGGGUUGGGAGUUGGAAAACCCACUCCAGAAAAGCCUGGCAGGCUACAGUCUAUGGACUCGAAAAGAGUCAAGACUGCAGGAUUCCAGUUAUUUGAGGAAUUUAAAGACGUCGGCUCAAGACAGAAGGUAGAAUGGGGUGGGAAGGGAGAGUGGGGAGUUACUGUUUAAUGAGUACAGAAUUUCAGUUUGGGAUGAUGAAACCGUUCUGGUUACGGAUGGUGGUGAUGGUUACACAACCGUGAGUGUACUUAAUGCCACUGAACUGUACAACUAAAAAUUUUUAAA